rnacentral:rRNA from 1 species
AGUUUGAUCCUGGCUCAGGAUGAACGCUAGCGGCGCGCUUAAUGCAUGCAAGUCGAGCGAUGAGGCUCCUUCGGGAGUACAUCAGCGGCAGACGGGUGAGUAACACGUGGGUGACCUACCCCAGAGACGGGAAUAACGGAUGGAAACAUGCGCUAAAACCCGAUGGCCUUCGAGGGUCGAAGCUUGAAGGAAAACUACGGGCUUCUGGGAGGGGCCUGCGGCCCAUCAGCUAGUUGGUGAGGUAACGGCUCACCAAGGCGAAGACGGGUAGGGGGUGUGAGAGCAUGACCCCCCACAAUGGGACUGAGACACGGCCCAUACUCCUACGGGAGGCAGCAGCAGGGAAUAUUGGGCAAUGGACGCAAGUCUGACGCAGCGACGCCGCGUGAGUGAAGACGGCCUUCGGGUUGUAAAGCUCUUUUCUGUGGGAAGAGGAAGGACGGUACCACAGGAAUAAGCGUCGGCUAACUACGUGCCAGCAGCCGCGGUAAGACGUAGGACGCAAGCGUUAUCCGGAUUUACUGGGCGUAAAGCGCCUGCAGGCGGCAGAGUAAGUUGGGUGUGAAAGCCCCGGGCUUAACCCGGGGAGGCCAUUCAAUACUGCUCAGCUAGAGGACGGUAGAGGGGAGUGGAAUUCCCGGAGUAGCGGUAAAAUGCGCAGAUAUCGGGAGGAACACCAGUGGCGAAGGCGGCUCCCUGGACCGAUACUGACGCUGAGGCGCGAAAGCGUGGGUAGCAAACAGGAUUAGAUACCCUGGUAGUC